ensembl:snoRNA
UUGGCCCUGAGUCAAGGCCAGAAGUUUUGUGAAGCUGUUGGUUUCAAGCAGUAGUAUGAAGAGAUAUCUCUGUAUUGUCUGUUGACCAUUUCAGAACUUUAGAAAUGUAAUAGUCAAUUUAUUAGAAAGAAACAGCU